rnacentral:rRNA from 1 species
UACGUAGGGUGCGAGCGUUAAUCGGAAUUACUGGGCGUAAAGCGUGCGCAGGCGGUUUGGUAAGACAGAUGUGAAAUCCCCGGGCUUAACCUGGGAAUUGCAUUUGUGACUGCCCGGCUAGAGUGUGUCAGAGGGGGGUAGAAUUCCACGUGUAGCAGUGAAAUGCGUAGAUAUGUGGAGGAAUACCGAUGGCGAAGGCAGCCCCCCUGGGAUAACACUGACGCUCAUGCACGAAAGCGUGGGGAGCAAACAGG